rnacentral:rRNA from 1 species
CCUACGGGAGGCAGCAGUGGGGAAUAUUGCACAAUGGGCGCAAGCCUGAUGCAGCGACGCCGCGUGGGGGAUGACGGCCUUCGGGUCGUAAAGUUCUUUGAUUGGGGACGAUAAUGACGGUACCCAAAAAACAAGCCACGGCUAACUACGUGCCAGCAGCCGCGGUAAUA